rnacentral:rRNA from 1 species
GUGAGGAAUAUUGGACAAUGGGCGCAAGCCUGAUCCAGCCAUGCCGCGUGCAGGAAGACGCAUCUAUGGUGUGUAAACUGCUUUUGUACGGGAAGAAACACGCCCUCGUGAGGGAGCUUGACGGUACCGUAAGAAUAAGGAUCGGCUAACUCCGUGCCAGCAGCCGCGGUAAUACGGAGGAUCCAAGCGUUAUCCGGAAUCAUUGGGUUUAAAGGGUCCGUAGGCGGUUUAAUAAGUCAGUGGUGAAAGCCCAUCGCUCAACGAUGGAACGGCCAUUGAUACUGUUAGACUUGAAUUACAAGGAAGUAACUAGAAUAUGUAGUGUAGCGGUGAAAUGCUUAGAUAUUACAUGGAAUACCAAUUGCGAAGGCAGGUUACUACUUGUGGAUUGACGCUGAUGGACGAAAGCGUGGGGAGCGAACAGGAUUAGAUACCCCAGUAGUCC